GCCUCCGUAGCUCAGGGGAUAGAGCAGGAGCCUUCUMAUCUCUUGGUCGCAGGUUCGAAUCCUGCCGGGGGCACCC
rnacentral:tRNA from 1 species